UACGAAGGGUGCAAGCGUUACUCGGAAUUACUGGGCGUAAAGCGUGCGUAGGCGGUCUGUCACGUCGGCUGUGAAAACCCGAGGCUCAACCUCGGGCCUGCAGUCGAUACGGGCAAACUAGAGUACUGCAGGGGAGACUGGAAUUCCUGGUGUAGCGGUGAAAUGCGCAGAUAUCAGGAGGAACACCUGUGGCGAAAGCGGCUCACUGGACCAUAACUGACGCUGGAUGCACGAAAAGCUGGGGGGAGCAAACAGG
rnacentral:rRNA from 1 species